CCUACGGGGGGCAGCAGUGAGGAAUAUUGGUCAAUGGACGAGAGUCUGAACCAGCCAAGUAGCGUGAAGGAUGACUGCCCUAUGGGUUGUAAACUUCUUUUAUAUGGGAAUAAAACGUUCCACGUGUGGGAUUUUGUAUGUACCAUAUGAAUAAGGAUCGGCUAACUCCGUGCCAGCAGCCGCGGUAAUACGGAGGAUCCGAGCGUUAUCCGGAUUUAUUGGGUUUAAAGGGAGCGUAGGUGGAUUGUUAAGUCAGUUGUGAAAGUUUGCGGCUCAACCGUAAAAUUGCAGUUGAAACUGGCAGUCUUGAGUACAGUAGAGGUGGGCGGAAAUCGUGGUGUAGCGGUGAAAUGCUUAGAUAUCACGAAGAACUCCGAUUGCGAAGGCAGUUCACUGGACUGCAACUGACACUGAGGCUCGAAAGUGUGGGUAUCAAACAGGAUUAGAUACCCUAGUAGUC
rnacentral:rRNA from 1 species